rnacentral:rRNA from 1 species
GACGAACGCUGGCGGCGUGCUUAACACAUGCAAGUCGAACGGAAAGGCCCCUUUGGGGGUACUUGAGUGGCGAACGGGUGAGUAACACGGGAGUAACCUGCCCUUGACUUCGGGUUAACUGCAGUAAACUGGGGCUAAUACCGGAUAGGAAUCCUUGCUGCAUGGGGCGGGUGGGAAAGCUCCGGCGGUUUUGGAUGGACGCGCGGCGUAUUAGCUUGUUGGUGGGGUAGUGGCUUACCAAGGCUUUGAGGGGUAGCCGGCCAGAGGGGGCGACCGGCCACACUGGGACCGAGAGGAGGCCCCGGCGGCGAAGGGAGGCCGAAGGGGGGAAGAUUGCACCAGGGGCGGCGGCCGGAUGCAGAAGCGCCGCGUGCGGGAAGACGGCCUUCGGGUUGAAAAACGGUUUCAGCAGGGGACAAGCUUGUGGUGACGGUACCUGCAGAAGAAGCACCGGCUAACUACGUG